AGUUUGGGAUGAAUCACCCUCUGGACACAGCAGGAGAGGAAACGGCCUCAAGCUGAGCCAGGGGAGGCUGAGAUUGGAUACUAUAUCCAGCCUCAGAGUCAAAACAGGAAUAAAUGGAAAACACAUUGAAAAGAGGAUUAUGUCCAUGUGGAGGAGGAUUGACGUGCAUUUCCAAACUGGGAAGAUUGAGUUAUACCAGGCAGUUUUGCCCUUUGUUAUCCACCUAAGAUGCCUGUGCAGUCUGGGAAGGACCCGAGUUCUCUUCCCAUCUCCCUGACUGCUCUGUCAGGUUGGAUCAUGGUGAGGCAGUAAGAAACCAGCUGGAGAUUCCUGGCUCUGGGCUGGGCCAUUGUCACUUCGCUGCGACAGUGAGCAGUGCUCAGGAGAUGUGAGGCCACUUCUGGAUUCAACAGGAUGUUGACCUGGAUGUCUCAGAACAGCUCAUGGAGAGGAAAGACCCUCUGACACAAAACCACGUCACUGGAGAGGGAACUGUAAUGUCAGGGAGGGCAUCUGGAAGAUCAGAGUGGGGAUAAACCAGUCACUCCGAGCUGUGUGGCUUUGCAUGGCUGAGUUUUAUUUCCAGCCUUUUGAAGCACAGCUCAUGAGUCUUA